rnacentral:rRNA from 1 species
AUUGAACGCUGGCGGCAUGCCUUACACAUGCAAGUCGAACGGCAGCGCGGGGCAACCUGGCGGCGAGUGGCGAACGGGUGAGUAAAAUAUCGGAACAUACCCUAGAGUGGGGGACAACGUAGCGAAAGUUACGCUAAUACCGCAUACGCACUAAGGUGGAAAGUGGGGGAUCUUCGGACCUCAUGCUCAUGGAGGGGCCGAUAUCUGAUUAGCUAGUUGGUGAGGUAAAGGCUCACCAAGGCGACGAUCAGUAGCUGGUUUGAGAGAACGACCAGCCACACUGGAACUGAGACACGGUCCAGACUCCUACGGGAGGCAGCAGUGGGGAAUUUUGGACAAUGGGGGGCAACCCUGAUCCAGCAAUGCCGCGUGAGUGAAGAAGGCC